GGCCGCCUUGUACACACCGCCCGUCACACCAUGGGAGUGGGUUGCAAAAGAAGUAGGUAGCUUAACCUUCGGGAGGGCGCUUACCACUUUGUGAUUCAUGACUGGGGUGAAGUCGUAACAAGGUAACCGUAGGGGAACCUGCGGUUGGAUCACCUCCUUA
rnacentral:rRNA from 1 species